UAAAUUCCCCUGCAGACACAGCUGCUUUUGAAUAUCCCAAUUUCUCAGAGUCUCACUCCAGCUUCCAGUCUGGGCCUCAGGUGGUCUAUUGUAUGUCUCUACUCAUAAUCUUUCACCCCAGGCAUCGCACCAGGGAAGGAACUGGAAACGAGGCUGGUUGCUGCUGCUUCAAGACUGAUACAGCCACCACACUGGGAAGAAGGUGGGACCAGGACGCUUCUAGCGACAUCGCCUGCACCAGCUCAUGCCCUUCGCACGGCAGCAGUGGAGCAGCACCUGGUUCUGUUUUCACUUGAGAGGUGGGUGAGGAGACGGAGACCCGGAGAAGGCGGGUGACUUGCCCCGGGCCACAGCGGAGGAGCCCACGCUCCCUGACCGCUGAGUCUGCGGUGACCAGAUCCCGCAGAAUGUACAAGACGAAAGGCAGCAGCCAACCUGCCGCAGAGAGACCUCACACAACGCAGAGGUUGGGCCCCGCCUCCUCCUGCGAGGCCAAGGCUGUCUCGGUCUGGUAAACACGGGCAGUCGCAGGGCAUGGCAUCUGCAGGGCAGAGACCCUGAGCCAGUGUCAGUCUUAGGUUAUUACAGCUGUCCAGGGGUUUACAGUUAAGAAACAUUUUUUUUUUUUUAGGAAUAUAAAAAUAUUUAUUGACCGCUGUUCACCAGUAUUUACAAUAAACAGUAUACAGUUGGAUACCAUUCUGAUUACUACAAGGCUGUUCUUCCUGGCUUCUGCAGAACCAGCAACCCAAAUACUGAAAAGAUUGAGCCUACAUGUAAGAAAUGAAUUGGGGUAAGAAAAAACAUGCAGGUCAAUAGUUUAGAUUACAAAAAGUUUGUUCACUCAUUUAUGUCAGCAGGUCUGAAACUGCCAA